AAUAAUAUGGCUGAAAUUUAAGUGAUAAAUUGUAAAUUUAUUAAUAAGUGUAAAAACUUUAUUAUUA
rnacentral:tRNA from 1 species